AGUGAACGCUGGCGGUAGGCCUAACACAUGCAAGUCGAACGGCAGCACAGUAAGAGCUUGCUCUUACGGGUGGCGAGUGGCGGACGGGUGAGGAAUACAUCGGAAUCUACUUUUUCGUGGGGGAUAACGUAGGGAAACUUACGCUAAUACCGCAUACGACCUACGGGUGAAAGCAGGGGAUCUUCGGACCUUGCGCGAUUGAAUGAGCCGAUGUCGGAUUAGCUAGUUGGCGGGGUAAAGGCCCACCAAGGCGACGAUCCGUAGCUGGUCUGAGAGGAUGAUCAGCCACACUGGAACUGAGACACGGUCCAGACUCCUACGGGAGGCAGCAGUGGGGAAUAUUGGACAAUGGGCGCAAGCCUGAUCCAGCCAUACCGGGUGGGUGAAGAAGGCCUUCGGGUUGUAAAGCCCUUUUGUUGGGAAAGAAAAGCAGCAGGUUAAUACCCCGCUGUUCUGACGGUACCCAAAGAAUAAGCACCGGCUAACUUCGUG
rnacentral:rRNA from 1 species